rnacentral:rRNA from 1 species
GCGCACCAGUCGCGAAACCUCCGCAAUACACGAAAGUGUGACGGGGCCAUCCCGAGUGCCGUCCGCUGAGGACGGCUUUUCCCCAGUGUACACAGCUGGGGGAAUAAGGAGAGGGCAAGCCUGGUGUCAGCCGCCGCGGUAAUACCAGCUCUCCGAGUGGUGGGGACGCUUAUUGGGCCUAAAACAUCCGUAGCCGGCUGGGCAAGUCCUCCGUUAAAUCCAACGAUUCAAUCGUUGGGCUGCGGGGGAUACUGUCCAGCUUGGGGGGCGGGAGAGGCCGACGGUAUUCCCGGGGUAGGGGUGAAAUCCUAUAAUCCCGGGAGGACCACCAGUGGCGAAGGCUGUCGGCUAGAACGCGCCCGACGGUGAGGGAUGAAAGCUGGGGGAGCGAACCGGAUUAGAUACCCCGGUAGU